AGAGUUUGAUCAUGGCUCAGGACGAACGCUGGCGGCGCGCCUAACACAUGCAAGUCGAACGGAGAUUACAGGCGGAAGUUUUCGGAUGGAAGCUUGUAAACUUAGUGGCGGACGGGUGAGUAACACGUGAGCAACCUGCCUAUCAGAGGGGGAUAACGAUUUGGAAAACGAUCGCUAAUACCGCAUGACAUAGCGGAACCGCAUGGUUCUGUUAUCAAAGAUUUUAUCGCUGAUAGAUGGGCUCGCG
rnacentral:rRNA from 1 species